GACGAACCGUGCGAACGUUGUUCGGAAUCACUGGGCUUAAGGGCGCGUAGGCGGCCAUUCAAGUCCGGGGUGAAAGCCUCCAGCUCAACUGGAGAAGUGCCUUGGAAACUGGAUGGCUCGAGGGAGGCAGGGGCAGCUGGAACUUCCGGUGGAGCGGUGAAAUGCGUUGAUAUCGGAAGGAACGCCGGUGGCGAAAGCGGGCUGCUGGUCCUCUUCUGACGCUGAGGCGCGAAAGCUAGGGUAGCGAACGGGAUUAGAAC
rnacentral:rRNA from 1 species